rnacentral:rRNA from 2 species
GGGGUUUAUGCGAGGCUGCCGGCGUCGCCAAGUAAGUGCGCAGCAGAUUAGACGCUAUGCUUCUCUGAUGUUAGCGGCGGACGGGUGAGUAACACGUGGGUAACCUACCUAUAAGACUGGGAUAACUCCGGGAAACCGGGGCUAAUACCGGAUAAUAUUUUGAACCGCAUGGUUCAAUAGUGAAAGACGGUUUCGGCUGUCACUUAUAGAUGGACCCGCGCCGUAUUAGCUAGUUGGUAAGGUAAUGGCUUACCAAGGCGACGAUACGUAGCCGACCUGAGAGGGUGAUCGGCCACACUGGAACUGAGACACGGUCCAGACUCCUACGGGAGGCAGCAGUAGGGAAUCUUCCGCAAUGGGCGAAAGCCUGACGGAGCAACGCCGCGUGAGUGAUGAAGGUCUUCGGAUCGUAAAACUCUGUUGUUAGGGAAGAACAAAUUUGUUAGUAACUGAACAAGUCUUGACGGUACCUAACCAGAAAGCCACGGCUAACUACGUGCCAGCAGCCGCGGUAAUACGUAGGUGGCAAGCGUUAUCCGGAAUUAUUGGGCGUAAAGCGCGCGUAGGCGGUUUCUUAAGUCUGAUGUGAAAGCCCACGGCUCAACCGUGGAGGGUCAUUGGAAACUGGGAAACUUGAGUGCAGAAGAGGAGAGUGGAAUUCCAUGUGUAGCGGUGAAAUGCGCAGAGAUAUGGAGGAACACCAGUGGCGAAUGCGGCUCUCUGGUCUGUAACUGACGCUGAUGUGCGAAAGCGUGGGGAUCAAACAGGAUUAGAUACCCUGGUAGUCCACGCCGUAACGAUGAGUGCUAAGUGUUAGGGGUUUCCGCCCCUUAGUGCUGCAGCUAACGCAUUAAGCACUCCGCCUGGGGAGUACGACUGCAAGGUUGAUACUCAAGGAAUUGACGGGAUCCGCACAAGCGGUGGAGCAUGUGUUUAUCGAGCACGCGAAG